GCCAGGCGAGGUGGCAUGUGCCUGUAGUCCCAGCUACUUGGGAGACAGAGGUGGGAGGAUCACUUGAGUCCAGGAGUUCUGGACUGUAGUUUGCUAUGCCCAUUGGAUGUCUGUACUAAGUUCGGCAUCAAUAUGGUGAACUCCCAGGAGCGCGGAACCACCAGGUUGCCUAAGGAGGGGUGAACCGGCCCAGGUUGGAAAUGGAGCAGGUCAAAAUUCCUGUGCUGAUCAGUAGUGGGAUGGCGCCUGUGAAUAGCCACUGCACUCCAGCCUGGGCAACAUAGUGAGACCCCAUCUCA
rnacentral:SRP_RNA from 1 species